rnacentral:rRNA from 1 species
UACGGGGGGGGCAAGCGUUGUUCGGAAUUACUGGGCGUAAAGGGCUCGUAGGUGGCCAACUAAGUCAGACGUGAAAUCCCUCGGCUUAACCGGGGAACUGCGUCUGAUACUGGAUGGCUUGAGUUCGGGAGAGGGAUGCGGAAUUUCAGGUGUAGCGGUGAAAUGCGUAGAUAUCUGGAGGAACACCGGUGGCGAAGGCGGCAUCCUGGACCGACACUGACACUGAGGAGCGAAAGCCAGGGGAGCAAACGGG